rnacentral:rRNA from 1 species
UGGUAAUUCUAGAGCUAAUACAUGCUAAAAAUCCCGACUCCGGAAGGGAUGUAUUUAUUAGAUUCAAAACCAAUGCCCUUCGGGGCUCCAAUGGUGAUUCAUGAUAACUUCUCGAAUCGCACGGCCCCGCGCCGGCGAUGGUUCAUUCAAAUUUCUUCCCUAUCAACUUUCGAUGCUACGGUAGUGUCCUAGCAUGGUUG